UCUUCAUGCGGGGCGUGGGUGUUCGAUUUUUGGUCGAUUUUCGGCAAAAAUCGACCAAAAAUCGAACACCCCACGCCCCGCAUGAAGA
rfam:Nippostrongylus brasiliensis genome assembly, scaffold: NBR_scaffold0000447